AACUUAUAGCAGACGACUGUUAUAUGUUCAAUGUCCGGAGUUUUAUCCACGCAUGCGCAGGGACUAGUUCCGGAAGGAAUACAGGAAGAGUCUCAUGCGCAUGCGUAGAGUUCGACACCCAGCUUUGGCGCCUUUUCUCAGUCUCUUCGUUGGCUGAUCUCCGUCGAGCCAAGACGUCCAACAGAGCUCUCUCACAUGUCAGCACCAGAGCUUCACAAAUAACCACGAAAAUCAUUCAGAAGGCGUCUCAGUAACCGAGGGCGACGAGCUACUGAAUUCCACUGUAAAUAAAUAUUGUUAUGUUGUUCAGAAUCUGCGUUCCGUUGUAUCUUCUAGAAAUUUAAUGUACGGAAGCGGUGUACACCUAAUGGUGUAUAACCACUUUCCUACAAGUAUAUCUUCAUGGACAAACAAUUCCUUUUAACCCAAAGUCGAGCAGCGACCAACAACAAAACCAAUCUUCACACGAAACGCUCAUGCUUCUCUUUUAUUAACUCUUGCUUCUAUAUCUAUAAACAUCUUUUGGCGGGAAAAUCAUGGAAAUUCCACUAGAAAACGUAAGUUACAAGUACUAUCGUAAGAUGUGUAGUAGAGGAAGGCCGGAAGUGGGGGAGAGAUGACGUUACGUCGGCAAGAAACAAGAAAAGUUUCUCUCGUUUUCAUGCUAUCUUCGACAGAGGCAAGACGUGGUGAAAGAGAGGUUGUGACAAGACAUUUUAAGAAUUGAACAAUUUGCCGGAAAUACCUGAUUGCCAGUCGAGGCAAUUCAUCUGUUCCUUGUUUCAUUAGAGAUUUCCAAAUUGCUGAGUGAGGGACUCCAUCAAAGGCCUUCUCCAAGCUGAUGAUAACACAUUUAAUAACCUUUCAUAGAAAUAAGAUACACAAAGUUGGCUGUAUGUAUGGGGUGACACCAGACAGAAGUUUACGAUGAAGUAAUUGCUGGAUAUACAAUCUUUAUAAACAGUUGUAAGAUGGUGGAAUAGACAUGAGAACUGUGUUGGUUUUAACAUUCUUAAGAUUUAAAAUAUAGAGAAAUAUCUUCCAAACUAUUUACUAUUCUAUUGACUUUAGUCGUUCUUUCUUACCACACCUUGCUUUCAUCUAAAAGCCAGUUAAUCUCAAGUACUUUGAUUCCAGCACAAUUCCUGCUCUCUUUCCAGCAAAUUGAUGUGAAAGUCUUUGUCUUCAAAGCCAGCAUCAUGACAAUGGUAUUAAAGGAAUGUUUGAAACACGCACGCACGCACACACACACACUCAUUCUUACACAUAUUCACUCAUACACACAUAUUCAUACAACCACAUGUUCGUACAUGCACAUACACACACAUAGCUAUAGCC